rnacentral:rRNA from 1 species
UACGGAGGGUGCAAGCGUUAAUCGGAAUUACUGGGCGUAAAGCGUGCGCAGGCGGUUUGUUAAGUCUGCUGUGAAAUCCCCGAGCUCAACUUGGGAAUUGCAGUGGAUACUGGCAAGCUGGAGUAUGGUAGAGGAAGGUGGAAUUCCCGGUGUAGCAGUGAAAUGCGUAGAGAUCGGGAGGAACACCAGUGGCGAAGGCGGCCUUCUGGACCAAUACUGACGCUCAUGCACGAAAGCGUGGGGAGCAAACAGG